CCAAUCAAAAUAUCUGCGGAGAGGCAUAUCCACACUCUGUAUUUUUUCUUUUCCCUCCAUUUUCCUUCGUUUAAAUGAGAGUGCUGACCCCAUUAGAUAAAAAAAAGAAGAGAAGACAGACUGCAUUCAUUUUGAGAAGAGUGAUUAAUUACAGAUGUUACUGAGACAAUGAAAUAUAGAUCAUACCGACUGGGACUCCAGCCGGGUUUACUCAGUGUCAGGCUCUUCCAAUUUUGAUCAGAGGGAAAGGAAUUCAUCGCCGAGCUCUUUGCCACAGGUUUUUGUGAUCAUUAACAUUCUCUUCAAAGGCUUGCAAUAAAGCAUGCUAACCAAAAAAUCCACCCAAAAAGGCAGAAGGAAAGUUGUGACGUGCUGUGGUAGAUUUAUCUAGAUAUUUUUUUUGCAGACUGUUGCAACUCAUUUGGAGCUUGUGUAAAUGGCGUUUUGAAAUGAAAUCUCUAAACCAAAUCCUUUGGUCGACAGAUGCACGAGAGAACGAAAUGGAAAGAGAGGAUGUGCGAAGGAAAAGGCGAGAGAAGAUAUACUUUGCAUGGCUGAGAUAAAGGACAGAUCAUUAGUCAGGGCUCUUAAUAUAACUGCAGGAACAGGAGAGCGUGGCACUGUCGGUUUUUAGACAUUUGGGAUCUAUUUCCAUUUUAUAUGUACUUAUUUCAUAACUAUCGGCAGAUGUUAAACAUCUAGUUUAUACGUUAAUGAAAUGUGUGCAUAUUUACUUUUAUAUUGAGAACAUGACUUGGGUUAAGCUGAUUUCAUUUAACCUUUUAGUUUUACUGCAUUUCUCCAUCUUUUCUUGAAAACAAUGACUAAUAUCUGUUUUAUGUAUAUAGAGUCCACCUACAUUUUGGAACAUUUCCAGAUGAAACAUUAUGCAAAAAAAGCAAUAUAUCAUGACAAAAUGCAAAUUGUGAUAGACAGUAGCUAUUAAUCAGAUGUAAAUGGAAUAAAUGUUCUUAUUAUAAAUAACAUACACAUAAGUGGACACUUUAAAAUGAGCUUCAUGCAGGGUUCUCUCUCUUUUUUUUUUUUUUUUUUUUUUUAGAAAAAAGAUAGACACUGAAGACUGUAGAAAUUAAGCUGAAAAUUCAGCUUUGCUAUCACAGAAAUUAAUUCCAUUAAAAUAUCUUAGAAAACAGUUAUUAUAAAUUGUAAUAAUAUUCCAAAACACUGCUUUUUUUACUGUAUUUUUGUUCUAAUAAAUGCAGUGAGCUAAAGAGACUUUCAAAAACAUUAAAAAAAAACCUUACCCACCCCAAACUUUAGUGUUACUUGCAAUUUCGUGUUUUAACCACAGAUGGCGGUAGAGAGGCCAAUGUUCCGUAGUGCACCUUUGAAGAGAUCGAUCAUCCUAAAAUGUUGUUCCAAACAUGUAUGAGUAACAAAGAAGAUAUUUUGAAGAACUCAGGGCAACAAGCAACAAUGGAUCCCACUGGCUGUCAUUGAUAAAGAAAAAACAUAAAAAAAAAGGAAAGUCAAACAGGUUUGGGACAACAUGAAGUUUUUUUGCGGAGACACUGCCUCCCUUGCCUCGUCGAAGGAAACACCCCUGUUUACAGGCACAUGAAGUCACCAGUACAGCAGGCAAGCUUGGAAUAUGGAAAAGCUUACAUUCAGCAGAUGGAAUUAUUGCCAUUACAUUGAUUUUGUCAGGAGAAAAGAUGAUCUGAACACCACGCUUUACUUUACUCUGGCAUUACAUGGCUUGCUCUCCCACAUCCCUCUGAUCCAGAUAUCAAUUAUAUUACUAUAAUUAAAAAAAAAACAUUUUAUUAUGAACUUGUGUGGUUUCUUUUGAUAAAAUACAUCAUGAAAUCUAAUCAUAUAUAGGCAACGCAUGAGAAUUAAUGAGAUUAAUAUAACACUUUUACUUAAAAGUCACUAUCAUUCACCAUUGAGUGUUUGUAAUAACUUCUGACUGCGAUCCAAUGUGGAUUUUGGUCAAAUGAUG